rnacentral:lncRNA from 1 species
CUUAGAAUUGGCAUGGGAUCGUAUGGUUCUGUCUACAAAGGCAGUUUGCAUCAUACGAUGGCUGCUGUUAAAGUUCUCCACUCUCAGGAGGUUCAUCGGACCAAAGAAUUCCUGCAGGAGGUACAGGAGUUCCACAAUUAAUAAUGAGCUAGAGUAUAUGCCAUUUGUGUCAUUUUUUUACCUGAUUUUCAGGUGGAGAUCCUUAGCAAAGUUCGUCAUCCACACUUGCUAAUUCUUCUUGGUGCAUGUAUUGAUCAUGGAUGCCUUGUUUACGAGUAUAUGGAGAAUGGGAGCU